AUGGAAGUUGCAUUAGCUAGCGCUGCUGUGAGUGUUAGCUUAAAAGUGGCUGCAUCUCCAGCCUUGAAGAAGCUCCUUGCUAAUGCUUCAACAUACCUUGGAGUGGAUAUGAUGCGUGAGCUCCAUGAACUGGAGACCACUAUCAUGCCGCAACUCAAGCUGGUGAUUGAAGCAGCAAACAAGGGAAACCACAGGCCCAAGUUGGACAAAUGGCUUAAGGAACUCAAAGAAGGCUUCUACAUGGCUGAAGACUUGCUGGACAAGCAUGAAUACAACCUUCUCAAGCUCCAAGCAAAGGGCAAGGAUUCCUUAUCGGCCAAUGCUUCCUCCAUCAGCAGCACUUUUAUGAAGCCUGUGCGUGCUGCGUCGAGCGGGCUGUCCAAUUUGAGUUCUGAGAACAGAAAGCUAAUUCACCAGCUGAAUGAACUCAAGGCUACCCUGGCGAAAGCCAAGGAAUUUUGUGAGGUGCUCUUCUUACCAACUAGUUAUAAUGCAGAGAGCCCUGCCAUACCAUCAGCUGAUGUUCCUGAGACCACAUCAAUAUCACCUCUGAAAGUGAUUGGUCGUGACAAGGACCGCGACCGCAUAAUAGAUAGACUCACCAAGACCACUGCUACUACUGAGUCUAGUGUUUGGCCAUUGUUGGAGCUGGAGGCAUGGGAAAGUCCACCUUGGCACAACUUGUUUACAAUGAUACAAGGGUAA
rnacentral:rRNA from 1 species